AUUGAACGCUGGCGGCAGGCCUAACACAUGCAAGUCGGGCGAGCGGGGGAUGGGUGUGUAAUGUGUGGGGAUCUGCCUGAUGGAGAGGGAUAACUAGUGGAAGCGGUAGCUCAUAACGAAUAGCAUCCGAAGAACCCAUAUGGGAUUAGCUUGUAGGUAAGGUAAAGGCUUACUUAGGCGAGGAUCCCUAGCUGGUCUGCGAGGAUGAUCAGCAACACUGGGACUGAGACACGGCCCAUACUCCUACGGGAGGCAGCAGUGGGGAAUAUGUCACAAUGGGCGCAAGCCUGAUGCAGCCAUGCCGCGUGUAUGAAGAAGGCCUUCGGGUUGUAAAGUACUGUCAGUCGGGAGGCGUUACCGACAGAAGAAGCACCGGCUAACUCCGUGCCAGCAGCCGCGGUAAUAC
rnacentral:rRNA from 1 species